rnacentral:lncRNA from 1 species
CUUUCAUUAUGUCUUUGCUCUAUUCCUAUUACACGAUAAUAAGCAAAGAGGGGCAGCUGUUGUAGGCCAAUUUUGGCCCAAAUACAACCAAAUACCCACCCCAAUUUCAUCAGCCCAACAUCAUCAAACCCAAUCUAAACCAACAGCCCACCUAAACUAACCUACUAAACAUUUUCCAGCAAAGAAAAAAACCCUAGCCACCUCCCCACUUUCCUCUGACACCAGCCACCAGCACCUGCUCCACCAAUCACCCCCAUACCCUGUAAAAACAGAGCAAACAAGCAAGACGGGAAAAUAUGGAAAAAGUAAUAAAAAAACUUGUAAAAGAUGGCUAUAAAAAGCCAUUCAAAAAUGUUGUAAAGGGGGGGUUUAUUUUUUUUUAAAAGAAAGAUUGUAACACAGAUAUUGGAAAUAAAAGCGGAUACGAAAACAAAAAAAGAGAAGGAAGGUUCAAGAGGUUUAGUUUUGUUCUUUUUUUCCUUUUUUCUUCUUUUUGUUCUCUGCUUACCUUGUUUUUUUUCAUAUUCAUUCAUUGUUUUUUUUUUUCCUUUUUUUUCAAGAAAACCUUUUUUUAACAAAGAAACAUAAAAAAAUUUUAAAGUAGGCGUACCUAGGUUACGCUCCUUCGCUGUACACGGCGGUCACCGCCGUCGUCGUUGGCGGUAGGGCGGGUCUCUAAGGAACCCAAUCGACAGAAAGAAAAAGGGGGAGGGGAAGAGAGCAUGGAAGUUUUUUUUUUGUUUUUUUUU